CAACCUAACAACACUACUAAAGGGAAUAAAAUUUGGUGUGUCAGAUUUAAUGAUUCAGAAAGUAGAGAGAUAGUAUUAAAAUGCAGUACAGGUUCAUAGCCUGAGAGAGUUUAUGAGCCUUAGGUUUUAUUACUCACAUUCGCCUAUAUGAUUGGUUGCUGUAUAUUAUAAUGCAAUAUUCAGACGUUCAGAGCAAGGUUGUGACACUGCUGUAUAAACCUUGUAAUGCAAAAGGAUUUAGCCUCCACAAGACAAUGUUCAAGAAACCCCCAACAGUGAAAUUCUGAAGCGGUACUAUUUCACGAUUUCACAACUUGAGAAGCACUCAAAAUAUAUGGCACUGGGAGCUGUGUGAGUACUGAGGCACUAUACAGAGACAGACAUCAGCAACCACUAUAUCCCAAAGUGAUUACAGGAAUGGAAACUACUCUUCAAGGUAACAGUAAUGGAAACUACUCUUCAAGUUUGGAAACGUGACUACCUACAAACUCAAAGGCCUCCCUUCAACAUGUCCAUCUCUUUGUCCCUUGCUUCUUAUCAAUCUGUUGUAACCACCACAAGAAAAACAGCUGUCA